CGUGUGCAAGUGUUCAAAAAAACCAAGGCGCAGACAUGGCCCCUCAUUGUUGGGCAUGCAGACAAAAAAGGAGCCUUGUUUGUGCGCACGAAUCAGAGAGGGCCGCCGUCGUCGACUUGGCGGGUCGAGAUUGCAGAGACACGUGGCGUAUGAAAUUCGGCCAUGGGCAAGAGACCCUGUGGAUCUCGGUCUGCCGCGAGGCGCAGGCGAUCGGCGACGACGCGACGCAUAAAGACUGCCUCGAUCGGCGAGGGCGCGGUCGGUGCGCCGACGAGCAUGUGAAAGCCGUCGCCGCCGCGCGCCACAAACUGUUGCAUGAUGACCCGGUAAAGCGUAUCUGCUGCAAGAGGCGCACCGUCGCACGUGAUGGACAAUACGCGUCGACCGACCGGGCGUCGUGGAUCAUAGACCACACGCCACGGCGCCGACACAUGGAGCAGCGCGCGCGAGUGUAUCUGCCCCUUUUGAGCACUUGCACCUGCAGAUGUGUCGUCUUUGACAUCAUCUUGACCGCCCAUAUCAGCCGACAUGCCGGCGACAGCGUGUUCAAAGGCGGCGGCCAGUUUGUCGCCAGAGACAAGGCGCACGGCACACCGCGACAUCGUGGGCAUUUCGACGCGCAUGUCGCGUGCGGUAAAGACGUGUCCGGCGGGAUAAUCGCGUGCGCCACGUAGGGCGCCACCCUGGAUGAGAGCCAACACAUGCUCUGAGCCGUCGGCCUCGGCCAAGAGAUCGCAAAAGAGGUCGGCCAGUGGACACGGCCCGCUGCGCGCCGCCGUACUGCUCGUGGCGCGGGAAAACACGCACAGCGCCGUCGUAUCCGACAAUACCAAGUCGCUCGGAUCUAUGUCCACCUUGGGGCUCUGGGCGGUGAGGUGUUGCAACAGGGCGCUCACACGCGUCCGAGUUGACCGCUCUUCCAGUGUCGCCUGCACGUCGUUAUCGCCGACAGCAACGUUGGGCAAGACGUCGAUAGACUCGACCCGUGUGCCACUCUUUUCGUCUCCUACACGGAGGACGAUCCGGCCGAGGUGGUCGGCGUCCGAGCCACACUUGACCACCGGCGCGCGACCCUCGACGCGGUCCACAACGACAUGGUGUUCGUGACCGCCGAGCACAAUGUCGAUACGGUCUCUUGCAUGACGGGCCAACUGCACGUCCUCGUCCAGGUCCAUGUGGGUGAGCGCGACGACGGCGUCCAAGUCGGCGAGCGCCGGCGAGACCGCAUCAAAUGCGUCCUCGGGCGACACAAACAAGGCACCGCCGUCGCCCGCCGACGAGAUCAUGGGCGCGUGCGGCGUGCAGAACCCGACCAAUCCAACACGGUGACCGCCGCGGGUGACGACCAUGUCGGCGCGCACCGCGGCCCCAAAAGGAGGUUGGCGAUCCUUGAUGUGGUCCAAUGCAGAAAUGGCAACGUCACGCGACGCACACACGACCGGUAGUCGCGUCAUCGGACCCGGUGCGACCGAGGGCGGUGGAUUCUCUGGACGUGUGGCGUCAAUGUUGGUGCACAGCCAGCAAAAGGGCGACUCGGCGCUGCGCAGGGCGCAUCCAUGGGUGCCGCGAUCAAACUCGUGGUUGCCGGGCACGACGUGGGUGACGCCGGCAGCGGCCAACAGCGGCACCAUGUGACGGCCGCAAUCUUGUGGGCCGCGGCCCGACAGACGCGCCGCGGCCGUCAUAAAGUCGCCGCAGCAGCACACGAUGACAGCGCCCGCCGGGUCGUCGGGGUCGUCGAGGGCGGCCUGGCGCUCGCGCGCAAUCAUGGCGCACAAACCGACAAAUCCGCCGUUGGUGCCGCCCGCCGGCUGCUCUAGCACAUAGAUGUCGUUGAAUGUCAGGAUCACGACACGCUCGCCACGCACCAUGGUCUCGCUAAAUGUUUUCUUUUUUUUUCAGAAAAAAAACAGACGAGGCAACGGAAAAAAGUGAAACCAAAGGGGGGAGGAGACAAUCCCUGUGGCGGUGCGCGCGCGGCGGCGGUGGUUUCCAAGAAUAGCGCCAGCCUCAACUCGGCCGACCCCGCAAGAUCUUGGGGCGCCGCCGACCAGACCGCGUGGCCACAUCCAACAAGCGACGGCAUUUGUUGUGCCGCCUGGCCAAUAAAAAGAAAAGAGACAACCUCUGACAUCCAA
rnacentral:lncRNA from 1 species